AUUAUAUAAACAAAUAAAUGUGUUCACUAUGUAAUUAAUAGAAAUCAAUUACAUUUAAAUAUAUGUUCAACAAUAAUCAAAUGUAAAUGCGCCGAAAUAGUGCUUUAUACAUAUAUCUAUGUACAUAUAUAUGUAUAUACCAAAUCUGAUAUGAGGUCGUGCCUGCUCUGAUAAUAUUUCUGUUUAGCUAGAAAACUUAACACAAUUUAAUGCGAAAUACAGAUGGCGACAGAAAGCUAAAUUUACUACUUUUCUAUACUAUUAAAUAUCAAAGUUCACUUAAGUUUAUAAAGAGAAAAAAAGUUUUAUAUAAAAUUCCAUAUGCAAUUUUUGAGAACAACGCAAAAUAAUUUCUUUGAAUAUGCUGCAUUUUGUUGUUGUUACGAAAUUAAAAUUGCAAAUUAACUUGGAAAACCAGUUUCAUCAGCUACAAAUUAAUUUGGGAUAGCUUAUUUCAUUUCUAUUCUGUUCGGUUCAGAAUUGAAUUUUGUUAGUUGCAUUUGCAAGCCUGAAUUUGACGAACGUGUUCGAUUUUUAAUUUGUACAAUGGAUCUUUCAACGAACUCCAUUAUUUUUAUAGUUGGCGGCGCAGCGGCUGUUAUUAUUUUUAUUCUUAUUUGUUGUCGCUAUUGUUGCGGCGACAAGACCAGAGAGGAAAAUAUGAGCAAUAUCGAAACUGGCGUAUCCUGUAUGGAAUGUAUAACCGAUUUAGUAAAGGCGGAUUCUUAGAAUACUUUUGAAAAAUUACCUAUUCGAUGUUGUUAAACAAAUUAAUUUAAAUGUCGGGUAUCUCAAGUUUAAUGUCAGAAAGAUAGCUAUAACUAUAAACUUUGGUGCACUCAAUUACUGCCACAUAAAAUAUACAACACUACUUUAACGAAUAACAAAAACAAUAGAAGACUGAUAAACUUGUUUAUCUAUACUAUAGUGAAAGGAAACAAACCUCAAUAUAUGCCAUAAAAAACUAGAAUUUAAGAAGAAAGAAUGCACUAUUUACACAAUAGAACUCUCAGGAAUUAUUUACAAUGUUUACAACGCUUUCUACUGUUACAAAUGAAUAAUCAAUGUUGAAUCUAUGGUAGAGUUUAACAACUUAUUGUAUUGUUGAUAUUCAAAUAUUAUAUAAACAAAUAAAUGUGUUCACUAUGUAAUUGA